rnacentral:ncRNA from 12 species
UGUUAGCUCAGUUGGUAGAGCAUUACAUUCGUAUGUAUGUAACAGACUCGCUCUAGAAGAUGUCCCUUACCUAAAACAUGUAAAGGCCGUGGGUUCGACUCCCACA